rnacentral:rRNA from 1 species
CUACGGGUUGCUCCAGUAAAGAAUCUUCCGCAAUGGGGGCAACCCUGACGGAGCGACACCGCGUGGUGGAUGAAGGCUUUCGAGUUGUAAACACCUUUUAUGAGGGAAGAAGAUCUGACGGUACCUCAUGAAUAAGCCCCGGCUAAUUACGUGCCAGCAGCCGCGGUAAUACGUAAGGGGCAAGCGUUAUCCGGAAUUAUUGGGCGUAAAGCGUCCGCAGGCUGUGUAUCAAGUGGGUUAUGAAAUACCGAAGCUCAACUUCGGUGCUGUAAUCCAAACUGGUACACUAGAGUAAUGGAGAGGUGCGUGGAAUUGUGCAAGUAGGGGUAAAAUCCGUAGAUAUGCACAGGAACACCAAAAGCGAAGGCAGCGCACUGGCCAUUUACUGACGCUCAGGGACGAAAGCGUGGGGAGCGAAAGGGAUUGGAUACCCUUGUAGUC